UCGAUAAGUAUUUCUAUCUAUCUAUCUUUAUAUUUAUAUUAUUUUAGAAUAUUAAUACACAUAAACUAUGGGAAAACCAAAUAAAGAUUUUAUGCUUAUAUAUAUUACUUAGUGUGUUUAAUUAAUAAAUAAAGUGGCUAUGCUAAUCUGUAUCUAAUAAAACUUAAGCAUGGAUAUGAUGAAUAGUUGCUCUGCCUAAUUUGCACAUUUUAAGUUCUCUCUCAAGUAUAGACAUAACUGUUAUAAUUUAAAGCUUGCCCUAGACCUAAACUUGUGGGAUGAAAACUUGAUCUGAAGUCUAAGUUGUUAACGGAUACGAUAUAGGAAGGUUGAGCUGCUGUUUAUCUGUUCCUAGAGAUGCUAGAAUUCUGGAGAAUUUAUCUUUGAAAAUCUUUAAAAUGUUGCAUGAUGAGUUCCUGUAUGAUGAGAGCUUAAAUUCCUACCACAGCCAUAUAUACAUGCUUGCUAGACUUUGAGCCACACUUUUACUAUUUACUGCUUAUGAGCAUUGAGUAUGGUCAAGCUGUGUAGACCCUUAGGAGCUUGUCAUGUGGUUAAAUCAAGAUUUCACUCGCACGUUCACUCAUAUAUGCUACUUCUACUUCGGAAGUACCAUCCACAUACAUCCACUCAUUUCCAUCUCCAGAGCCACCUAAAAAUAUUCUACUCCUAAUCCGGGAGAGAAUAACCAAAAAUAUUUCUGUUUUCCCCUUGUAAAAUAAAUGCUCAAGUUAUCUUGUUACUACCACUUGCUAUAUUAUCUCAAGAGAUGAGUGCUCUAAAAAAAAAGAAGAAGAAAAUAAUAUGAGGAAAUAAAAAGGAGCAAGUGUUCGGAACCUCGAAAGAAAAGAAAAAGUGAGACGAGAGGUAAAAAUGGACAAGUGUCCGACAGUAGAAUUAGGGGUGCAAGAUACCCACCUGAGAGAAAAGAAAAAGAAGAGCAUCUCAUUCUCCUCAUAAAGUUUCAAAAGCAAGGAAGGUAUGUAUCCCCUCAGAAGAGCAAAGUAGAAUUAGACUUUCACCACCAUUGUUUUCACCAUUGUUAUCACCAUCAUCACCAUAUACCAUUCAUUCGCCACACAUGCACAUCUUGAUUAAACUUAUUGACUUGUUACUUUGGAUCCAUGGUUUGACUAUGCAAUACAUGUCUUGUAAGUAUGUAUAUUUUAUCUCCCACCUAUGAGCUCCAGAUAUUAAAGCCUUAUUAGAGUAGGAUGAGAGAGAAGGCAAUGUUACUAUGCCUCAUACCACAAAUACCACAUAUCUUGAGAGAAGGCAUAUACCAUCAAUGCCUUGGUAAGGAUCCAAAAAUACCACAAAAGAGAGACCUGAGAGAAUCAUACAAGGAAUUCUGAGUUUUAUUGAAAAUCUGCAAAAACCCCAGAGCUAUAGCUGAUCAAGAAUAAGAGACAUGGCACUUGGCUAGACUGUUCUAUCUUUUAACCACUCAAGACAGAAGUGACAGUUACAAGUCCCAUAGUGAAGGUAAAGUAAGUAAGUUUUAAGUCUUGACAGUUUACUCUAACUUAGAGAUGAGAUCUUAUUUAAGAGCAUGUGUACCGUCAAAUUUUUAAAGAUAUUGCAGCAACUUCUGAUCCAUAGCUGAGUCUAUCCUUGCUCAGGGACGAGCAAGAGGUAAGCUUGGGGGAGUUUGUUGACGGUCCUUAAGUAUCAAAUUUAAUUAUCAAAUAAAUAAAGAAAAGGAUCCAAAUGAAAUAAAGAUCUAGACUUAGGGUUUUAUCUGACAGAAUUCCACGAGUUUUGGUGUUUGUCUAUUUCUGCAGGGGGUUAUCAGGAAAUAUGGAAGAAAGGCCCACAUGUUAGGAUUACGUAAAGAUAUUAACGUGCUGCGCAAUUAUCUUACAUCUAGAAGACUCCAGAAGCCACGAAACCGAAGCGGAGGCGAAUCGGGGCCAGAGACAGGGCGCCCGCCCUGUCCAACUGGGCGCCCGCCCUGCCCCUAAGUCCAAUCAGGACUCUACUUUGCGGGAAGUCUCCACCGACCUAAAGGAUGAAUCUAAACCAUACAAUCUAUGUCGGUUUGAUCCAAGGGCCCAUAUUCACUUGAAGGGACUAUAAAACCAGACCCCCUGGCCCCUGGAGGAGGGAGCCUCUCAACCCUAAUUCAUUGUUCCAUCAAGGGAGAAGAAGCCUCUGAUCAAGAUUAGAGCCACCACAUCAAUUAGAUAUCUAGAUUAGCAUAGCUACAUAGGAUUAGAACUAGAAGGAGUCAAUCUUCGAUUGGUUUCCGGAUCUGUCAGGAGGAUUCUUGGUAAUUCUCUAAUUGUGCUUCUAAUUGCUUUCUAAUUAUCUUUGUUCUUCAAUAUUAUGAAUAUGACUUUGUUCUACUUCAAUAUAUUGCUUAUGACUUUGCUCUAUUUGCUUAUAUUCAAGAUUAUAUUGUUCUUAGUUUAUCAUAGUUAUGUACUUGGCUUAGUUAGAUACGAUCUAUAUACAUGCUUAGGAUCGUAUAGCGUUUAUCCAUCGGAUCCAUGGGUAAAUGAUAGAUAUUGUGUAGGCGUGGUGCUUAUACCGUAUUUAUCUGCGAUUGUACCCAAUAUGCCAGAUCGUGGGGUAGUUCGUGAUAGUGACAGCUUCAUUGAUUCUUAUAUAGUCCCCCUCUCGUGUAUUGGGCUGGCAGAGCAACAUUAUUACAGGGGAGUGAUUGCUAUGUUUCUCAUAUUCCUUGCUAAUAUCACUAUGCAUGGGCGUAGUCUUGUCUCGCAAUGAUUGCUAAGUAUGCUUGCACUAACUAUGAUAUGCUAGACUAUAUAGUUAAGAAUAACUUAGGGAAUAUUCUUGUAGUUCGUUCUAAUACCAUGCUAAUGACUUUCUAGACUAUCUAAUUGAGGUGCUUAUCAUAUUUAUUAUGUGGCUAGAUCAGAUUAGUUAUCCUUGUCACUAUUAUCAUUUCAUAUAUCUAUUAUGUGACACUUAUCCCUGUAUGAAGAGUUAGAUAUAAUGUUCUCAAUUAUACAUGAAAUGAUAGAUGCUCAAUCUCAUAUUCUAUUCUGUAAUCAAUAGUGAUGAUUGAUUAAUCCCUUCCCAGUGGUAAAAAUAUAAAUAACGAUACCUGGAAUACUUCCCGGUUAAAAUGCUACAUCGGUAUUAAUUUGUGCGCUUGCAGAUCCCAUUCAUUAUUUAUUUAGAAGAGCAAUUGCAUAUUUCAAUACCGUGUCUCUCAUGUCAUGCUGGGGAUGACAACUUGGCUUAAGUGGUGUGAGGGAUAGGUUUGGCAUUUUUGGCACCGUUGCUAGAUUUAGAACUUAGUCUACUUUUGUAAUGAUGUUAAGAAUACCCAACAAGCAAUUUUUGGCGCCGUUGCUGGGGAAGGUUGAUUACCAAUCAGGAAUGGAAUAAAAGAUUUUGAGUUAUCAUUCGCAUCACUAAUAUGAUUGAGCUUAUCUAUUCUCUCAUACAGUUUUACCCCGAUAUUUUUCUAUUUUAGCUUAUGCAGGGGAAUGUAUGAAUAGAAGACAUCUUCUAGGAAAUUUUGUUGACAAUCCUGAAGCAUUAUUCAAGAAGACGAGGGCCAAGCUAAAGAAAUCAUCAACACUUCACGAAGAAGCUUCAUCCAAUCAAGAAGAUCACCGGAACUUGUCUUCAGAGUUCGAAGCCAUGGCGAACAAAUCGAUCCGCGAGUUCUCAGCUCCCACUACGGACAACAUCCGCACUGAACCUGCUGCAGAGAUCGAUGGCAACUUUGAGCUCAAGCCUGGACUUAUCAACAUGGUGCAAUCCAACCAGUUUUGUGGGAAGGCACACGAAGAUGCUAGUGCUCAUUUACAACACUUCUGGAGAUUUGCAACACAUUCACCAUAGCAGGAGUUUCCAAAGACGCUAUACUACUUCGCCUCUUCCCAUUCUCACUGUUAGGAAGAGCGAAGCAGUGGUUCUACGCUACAAAGGAGAAGAAUACUACGUGGGCACUCUGCUCAACAAACUUCCUGGCCAAGUUCUUUCCCAUGGGCAAGACCAAUGCUCUCCGUGGGAAGAUUACAAGUUUUCAGCAACAAAAUGAUGAAUCUGUUCCAGAAGCAUGGGAGCGCUUUCAAGACUACAUCCUAGAAUGUCCCCAUCAUGGAAUGGAGAGUUGGCUAUUGAUGCAGACAUUCUAUCAUGGGCUCAGCAAUAGUGCCCGAGAGACCAUGGAUGCUGCAGCUGUGUAACAUCCCUGAUGUUACGGUUACUAAAAACGGAUCAUGUCAUCAUAAGCAUUGCAAAGCAUAAUUGUUAAAGCACAUUAGUAUGCAUCAACUUAAAAUAAGUUUACUUUGAUUGCUUGAGCUUAGGGAAGUAGAGUGUGCUUUUGUGGUGUGUUGUUGCUUGUGUGGUUGCUAAAACUCUAGGGUGGAAGUUUUCCGAGAAGCUAAGGGGGGGAAAACCCUGAUUUCUGGAUCCUAGAUUUGUCCCCUUUUGCUUAAGUCAAAAACUAAGCAAAAUUUGAGGUUGAGUUCAAAAGCAAAGUUGUUGCUCUUGGCAAGAUGUACAACUUUGGUGUUUUGAGUUUUUGAAGUUUCAAUACAAAAUUCAAAGUAAUUUUGAAAAUACAGAUUUCCAGAAAGUGUCCCCUUUUCCAACUUAAAUCCCCAAUUCAAAAUCCAUUUGGAAUUUUGAAAAGUGGUCAACAUGAAAGUUGUAGAGCACAAAAAGUUGAGCAACUUUCAUGUUGGGAGUUUUUCAAGUUGUUAUGCAAAAUCAAAAGAAAUUUGGAAAUUCUGUUUUGCCCCAAUUCAAAAAUUUGGAAUUUCUUUGAUUUGAGUUUGAUUUUCAAACUGUUUGGCAAAAUUACCCUUGAUCCAUUGAGAAUCAGCUUGGGACACCUAAAUAUGAUUUGUAGCUUACAAAAUUUGGCACAACUUUUGUUUUGGUGGAAAUUUGACUUUAGUUCAAAUUUUGGUCGGAUUUCACAAAAAGACAAACUGAGUGGAUGAGGCCGGCUACAGUGAUCGGUAGGGGGGGGGUGCUCUGCCGCCGGGGCAGAGCCGCCUCCGCGCGCGCCGCCACGCAGCUGGCCACGCAGCUGCUUGCUGCUGUGCUUCGCGUGGACGUCCUCAUCCGCGAACCGCCUUCCGUUGUGGGGAUAAAGCCCCGAGUGGCCAGAGUCCCCUCUUCCUUUUCUUGAACCCCGACGCCGACGAGCUCCCUGCGCCUCUCCAACUCGCCUCACUCGCUGCCGUUCCAAGCCACCUGAGCACCCCAGCAGCUCCGCCGUGAGCCCCGCCACCGAUUGCGCCCCCAAACACACGCUCUAUCCUACCGUAGCUUCCACCCGAGCCGUUUCUCCCCCAACUCCGGCCGAGCGCCACCGCAAGCACGUCACCGUGGCCAGCGUCAACCAGAGCCUCUCCGCUGUCGCUUCUUGUUCGGUUGAAGUCGCGGUGAGCCCCUGGUGCUUUUGCGCUGCUCAAGUCACGCUCUACUAGCUCGUAGUGGCCGGCGUCUGCUCGGCCGAGGCGGCCGUCCGCCGUGCCCGUGGUCACAGGGGUUAGGAUAGAGGAGAGUGGGAGAAAAGGGUGUCCCUGGGUGCACGGGAGGUCGAGGAAGCUAUCACGUCUCGCCGCGAAGGCCGAGAGCUCGCCGACGGCUCACUGGAGCUCGCCGGAGCCGCGGCGCUAGGAAGGAGACGGAGCUGACGGGCGGGACCUGCCCGUCAGCGACCGCGUGAGAGAGAGAGGGAGAGGGCGCUGGCGCGGGAAGCGCUCGGGCCAGAGUGGACCGUGUCCACGCAGGCCGUCUGCGCGGCGCGUGAGCAGGCCGAGCGCGCGUGGGCCGGCUUGCGGGCCAAGUUCCAGGCCGCCCGCCGCGCGAAAAACCUUUUCCUUUUUCCUGUUAUGCAAUUUUUGCUGAAUGUUUGAAUUUGUGUAAUAAUUCGUGUGUUAAUGCAAAAAUCAUGGAAAUUUUUGUGUAGAUUCUCUGAAAUAAGUAGAACCCAAGAAAAAUAGUGGAUUCUUUUUUCUGGUAGUUUACAUGUCUACAAAAAUUGGCCCUUUUAAUUAGCAAAUAAAACUUGUAUGAUUUUUAAUAAUUUGUUAGUAUGUCCAAAAAUCACCAAAAAUUGUGAGAUGCCUCUGAAUAUUGUUCCCUGGCUCCCCACAAAAUUUGGUGGCAUUUGGAUAAUGUUUGUUUAAAAUAUUAAUGAACUCUUAUUUAACACUUAAGUAAUAAUUCCAAAAUAAUUAAAUAGUGAUUAUUUAGGUCCUCAUAAUUAGGGUUGAGUGAUUUUGGAUUAUGUGAUGACCUGAGGUCAUUAACCCUAAUGACCUUUGGCAUUUAAUUGUUGUUCAGCUUUAAUGCUUAAUUACUGUCAUUAGUAGUUAAUUAAGAAUUGAUUAAGGUAAAUAGGGUUAAUAAUUAGUUAAUUCAGGAUAAUUAGGAAUUAAAAGGAGUUUUAAUUUACUGAUGCAAUCUCUUGGGUAAAAACAGUAAAUUGUAAACAACUUUAUUUAGUGACAAUUCUGUAUUGCAUUAAAAAGGCAAAUCGUACUUAAUUCGGUCCAUCUUGCAUAAUUGCCAUACGCAUAUCAUAAGCAUUCAUCAUUUUGCGUAUAGUGUCCGUGACCGAAGGAGCGCCCGUUGAACCGAACCCCGAGGUCGGUGCUCCGUUCGAGGAAGUCGGAUCCGAGACUUGGGAAGUCUCCGAGGGUCCCUCUCUGCCCUGCAACCAAGGCAAGCCCCGGAUGCAUUAACCCCUCCUUGGAUGUUUUAAAUCUUUUAUCACUUAUGAAUGGAAAAUGCUGCAUUAGGUAGAUGAGAAUUGGGUUAACCUACUUGCUGCAUUUACUACCUUGAUAUCUGUAUCCUGUCCUUGACACCUGUUUUAUUUUAAAACUACGUAGCGAUGCUUAGCCCUGCUACUAGAUAGGUUUUUAAACAAGAAAGUUUGAAGGGUUGUUGUGGGAUGCACUUAUGGUCAAUGAUGUUUUAACUUGAGACCGGUCGGUGGACUUGCUUUAAGAAUGGAGUCUUAAAGUAGUGUCUCCAACUGUGUCGGUUAAGGACCGGUCCGUUGAUGGCCUGCUGGGUUGAGAAUUUAUAGUACUAGCCACUUGCCUUCGGUAAGCCCGGUCUUGUGAUCCCUCGACGCGAACAGCUACUCGCGCACUGGGAGUGGAAAGAUGGCGAGAGUAGUGUGUACACACCUUACGGAUCUGAGAUGACCGGAAAACAUCUAGAUCGGCUGUAGGAUGGUGGAGUACUGUGCUCUCGGGUGCCGCGAACCUGGUCAGAUUUGGGGAGAGCUUGAUUUGGGUUGACAUAUGCAAGAUUUGGUUCUACAUAUGUCGGGUGGUUAGGAACUCCAGCUGGAUUGCUAAGCGAUUCGAAUCGUCGUUGCUCCCCGAUUGGGAGACUCAAUUCCUUCGACCCUCAUCGUAGUUAAAUAUGCAACUAAGUGAUAAAAUGAGAAAGGAGAAAAUGUCUCAUGAGGUUCGGAUCCCAAUUCCCGGACUCAUAGCGACAUGAAGCUAUGGCCAUCGAUAAAUAAUACUUAAUGAUAGGACUAGGAACUCACGGAUUCGUCUGUGGGGAACAACCAGUUAGACUAUCCUCGAAUUCCUCUGCCUCUGCGAGGGAGUAAUUCGGGGUAAAACUUGAAAAUAAGGAUGCACUACUAGUAAGCUUUUACGCAAAACACUUAAUGAUAGGACUAGGAACUCACGGAUUCGUCUGUGGGGAACAACCAGUUAGACUAUCCUCGAAUUCCUCUGCCUCUGCGAGGGAGUAAUUCGGGGUAAAACUUGAAAAUAAGGAUGCACUACUAGUAAGCUUUUACGCAAAACACUUUGGCUCCUUGAUCAGCCACCCCUUGUCUACCCUAAGCCUGCAUCCCUAAAUUCUCCUCUUUUCCCGUCGGAUAAGUCUUGUUGAGUACUCCCGUACUCAGGGUUUCAAUACCCCUGUUGCAGGUGAAGCUCAGGAGCCGACUUGUUUCGGACCCUGUUGUGUGACCGUCGUCGAGGUUGACGACGAAGAAGAGUGAGCGCGACCCAUGGGCAGGGUCUGUAAAUUUGUUCUGUCUGUACUAAAGUUUCUGUUGCUCCGCUGGACCAGGCUUGUAAUAACACUCUACUAUUUGGAAGAACUCCUUUUAUAAAUUAAGUUAUGUAAUACUUCCGCUGUUUCACUCUGAAAUAUUAUUUUGGUCUUGUGUCGUUGAGUUACUGCUUUAUCUUCGCAACGAAUGAUCCUGGUGUUAAGGUGGCCACUUGCUAUCCUGUAAGGGCGAGAAGAAACAGUUCUCGUUGUUUGACCAUUACCAGUGGUCAGGACGAGCCAGCUUGGUACGCCACAGGUAGCAGUGGAAUGAGCGCCCAGCAAUGCUCAUCGGACUUCUAAAGUGGGAGGACUCCCGGCAUCACCGUCAGAGGUCCUUAGGACAAUGGUAGGUGUCGGUGGGCCCAAACACUUAGGAGGUUUUGCCACAAGCUGGAGGAGCAUUCUUAUCACUUACUAUACCACAAGCCACAGCUCUUGUGGAGAAGAUGGCAUCCAAUCAAAGCUGGAAUGAAGAGAGGACCCAGACACGCAAGAGAGGUGGAGGUAUGCAUCAGCUGAAGGAGGUAGACAUGCUGUCUGCAAAGCUAGACCUGCUCAUGAAGAAGCUCGAUGAUAAAGCUGGAGACAAGAAAGAAGUUAUGCACAUCUACGACUCUCACAUGACUUGUGAGGAGUGUGGAGACACUGGACACUCAGGCAACCACUGCCCUGAGAUGCUUGAGGAUGUGAACUACAUCAACAACAACUACUACUACAACCGUCCUCAACAAAAUCAAGGUUGGAAUCAACAGAGGCCUAACUACUUAGGUAAUUAUCAAGGUAACAAUUCUUACAACAAUAAUAAUAAUUUUCCACCUUUGAGAGAGUUAGUGUCUAAUCAAGGAAAGCUAAUGGAUAACCUAUCUAAGAAAUUGGCAUCUAAUGAUAAAAUGCUAGAAAAUAUAAAUAAUAGAAUGGAUAAUUUUUCUACUGCCAUCAAGAAUCAAAUUAGCUUUAAUAAAAUGAUUGAAUCUCAGUUAAAUCAGAUAGCUGCUGCUGUUCCUACUACUAACCCCGGUAUACCAUCACAACCGGAAGGAUUAGAAUCUGCAAAUCUUGUAGACGUGUUUGAUGCAGGUAAUUGGAGUAACCCCGUCAAUGAAUUUUCUACUGACCGUCUGCCGGUCAAGAGAGGCGAUCCAGGACGCCCCGUCAUCCCGAUCUCCAUCGGCAUGGUGGACUUCCCAGAAGCACUCUGCGACUUUGGCUCCAGUGUCAACAUUAUACCCAGGGUACUCUAUGAGAAAUUCUUUACAUAUCCUUUAUUAGAGACAACCAUGUGUUUGCAGUUUGCAGAUCAGACGAUAACUUUUCCAAAAGGAAUAGUGAGGAACCUUUGUGUCCGAGUUGGUACCUUGUAUGCCACAGCAGACUUCGUAGUGGUAGAGACCGGAAAUGAUGAGAGAGCACCUAUCAUCCUAGGGAGGCCAUUUUUGAACACCACGGGAGCUAUCAUCUACGCCAGUGCUGCUAAGAUCAGUUUCUACAUCAAAGGGAAGAAGGAAACAUUUUUCUUCAAAAACAAGACUACACAAAUUCCAAAUCAAUCCAGACGUCAAUCAAGGAAGAGGACCAACAGGAGGAACAGGAACAAGCAAGUGUGGACCGAGUCAGAUGGUCACUGUAGUCCAUGGAGGCCAAGAUCACCAACUUAAGUCACCGUGCUUGACCAAGAAGGACGACCCAGGAAUUUCAAGCAUUUACUGCUCCAUAAAUGGAUACAACUUCUACAAGACAAUUUGUGACACCGGAUCGGGCGUCAACAUAAUGGCCGCAGUCACCUAUCGGCUCUUGUUCAGGACCAUGCCACUAAGACCAACAUACAUUUAGCUCCAGAUGACAGAUUAGACAUUUCGAGAAGUUCAAGGAAUAGUAUCUGAUGUCCCAGUCAAAAUAGACGAUCAUUUUGUCUACACAGACUUUCAAGUUGUUGACAUGGGAGAAGACGAGUAUGAUCCACCCAUCAUCCUUGGAAGACCGUUACUCAGCACCGUUAAAGCCAUUAUCUACAUUGGAACCGGAGAAGUCCAUAUGCACUUCCCCUCAGAGAAGGUACGCUGUUAUUUUACUGACCCUAACUAUAUCAUUGAAGAAUCUAAGCAGGUAAGAAAACGACGCAACCGCAACCAGAGGAGGCAGAUCAUUAAGGACGGAUGGGCAGACUAUGAAGGAGAAGUUGUAAGGUCAGAAGACGUAGAGUUUAAACAGAAUUAUCCAGAGGAGAUUGAAGCACCGAGUCAGGUGUGGAAAAUGAAGAUAACUAUACAAGAAGAGGAGGCGCUGCCGGAAGUACCGACUACGCCACCCAACGAACCUCAGGACGAUUAAGAAAUUGGAGAGUCCCGUUCGGAGGACUUAAAAACACCGAACGCCUUGCCAAGAGGUAAACUUGGUAGUUACCCUUUCCCUUUCAGUUAUUUUAAAUAGUUUACUUAGUUAAACAUGCUCAUACUGUCUUAAAAAGAAAAUAAAAAUGUGAAAAAUAGUAAGCCCCAUGUGAAUAGACGAGUGGCAUGAAACCCAUACGUACAUUCACUGUGGUGGCACAAAAAUAAAAUAAAUAUUUUUCUGCUUUAUAAAAUAAAAAUAUAAAAACAGGGAGUAAUAAUUAUUAAGGAGUCUCAAGAUGAUAAAGGCUAGAUAUUUAUGCUAACACUUAAUCAGUUCCACAAGCUUUGUUGUCUAUUUGAGCUCCACAGAAUUUAAGAAUCAAGAAGACUAGCAGACGGAGGACAUUCUAAUCGCUGUCAGAAUGCUGCUUUCAAAUACACCUCUGCCACCUGCUAGCUACAUCAAGAGAAAUUACGUCAAAAUUCAGCAUGGGGGAGAGCACCCCCAUUUAUCUCGAUAAGUAUUUCUAUCUAUCUAUCUUUAUAUUUAUAUUAUUUUAGAAUAUUAAUACACAUAAACUAUGGGAAAACCAAAUAAAGAUUUUAUGCUUAUAUAUAUAUAUUACUUAGUGUGUUUAAUUAAUAAAUAAAGUGGCUAUGCUAAUCUGUAUCUAAUAAAACUUAAGCAUGGAUAUGAUGAAUAGUUGCUCUGCCUAAUUUGCACAUUUUAAGUUCUCUCUCAAGUUUAGACAUAACUGUUAUAAUUUAAAGCUUGCCCUAGACCUAAACUUGUGGGAUGAAAACUUGAUCUGAAGUCUAAGUUGUUAACGGAUACGAUAUAGGAAGGUUGAGCUGCUGUUUAUCUGUUCCUAGAGAUGCUAGAAUUCUGGAGAAUUUAUCUUUGAAAAUCUUUAAAAUGUUGCUUGACGAGUUCCUGUAUGAUGAGAGCUUAAAUUCCUACCACAGCCAUAUAUACAUGCUUGCUAGACUUUGAGCCACACAUUUACUAUUUACUGCUUAUGAGCAUUGAGUAUGGUCAAGCUGUGUAGACCCUUAGGAGCUUGUCAUGUGGUUAAAUCAAGAUUUCACUUGCACGUUCACUCAUAUAUGCUACUUCUACUCCGGAAGUACCAUCCACAUACAUCCACUCAUUUCCAUCUCCAGAACCACCUAAAAAUAUUCUACUCCUAAUCCGGGAGAGAAUAACCAAAAAUAUUUCUGUUUUCCCCUUGUGAAAUAAAUGCUCAAGUUAUCUUGUUACUACCACUUGCUAUAUUAUCUCAAGAGAUGAGUGCUCUAAAAAAAAGAAGAAGAAGAAAAUAAUACGAGGAAAUAAAAAGGAGCAAGUGCUCGGAACCUCGAAAGAAAAGAAAAAGUGAGACGAGAGGUAAAAAUGGACAAGUGUCCGACAGUAGAAUUAGGGGUGCAAGAUACCCAUCUGAGAGAAAAGAAAAAGAAGAGCAUCUCAUUCUCCUCAUAAAGUUUCAAAAGCAAGGAAGGUAUGUAUCCCCUCAGAAGAGCAAAGUAGAAUUAGACUUUCACCACCAUUGUUUUCACCAUUGUUUUCACCAUUGUUAUCACCAUCAUCACCAUAUACCAUUCAUUCGCCACACAUGCACAUCUUGAUUAAACUUAUUGACUUGUUACUUUGGAUCCAUGGUUUGACUAUGCAAUACAUGUCUUGUAAGUAUGUAUAUUUUAUCUCCCACCUAUGAGCUCCAGAUAUUAAAGCCUUAUU
rnacentral:lncRNA from 1 species